GACGAACGCUGGCGGCGUGCUUAACACAUGCAAGUCGAACGGUAAGGCCCUUCGGGGUACACGAGUGGCGAACGGGUGAGUAACACGUGGGUGAUCUGCCCUGCACUUCGGGAUCAGCCUGGGAAACUGGGUCUAAUACCGGAUAGGACCACUGCCUGCAUGGGUGGUGGUGGAAAGCUUUUGCGGUGUGGGAUGGGCCCGCGGCCUAUCAGCUUGUUGGUGGGGUGAUGGCCUACCAAGGCGACGACGGGUAGCCGGCCUGAGAGGGUGACCGGCCACACUGGGACUGAGAUACCGCCCAGACUCCUGCGGGAGGAAGCAGUGGGGAAUAUUGCACAAUGGGCGCAAGCCUGAUGCAGCGACGCCGCGUGAGGGAUGACGGCCUUCGGGUUGUAAACCUCUUUCAGCACCGACGAAGCGCAAGUGACGGUAGGUGCAGAAGAAGGACCGGCCAACUACGUGCCAGCCGCCGCGGUAA
rnacentral:rRNA from 1 species